CCUACGGGAGGCAGCAGUGAGGAAUAUUGGUCAAUGGCCGGAAGCCUGAACCAGCCAUGCCGCGUGAAGGUCAGUGCCCUAUGGGCGUUAAACUUCUUUUGUGCGGGAGCAAUAAUGGUCACGUGUGGCCAGACGAGAGUACCGUACGAAUAAGCAUCGGCUAACUCCGUGCCAGCAGCCGCGGUAAUACGGGGGAUGCAAGCGUUAUCCGGAUUUAUUGGGUUUAAAGGGGGUGUAGGCUGUGAGGUAAGUCAGCGGUGAAAUGCCUCCGCUCAACGGGGUGGAGUGCCAUUGAUACUGGCUAGCUAGAAUGCGGAUGCCGUGGGUGGAAUGUGUGGUGUAGCGGUGAAAUGCAUAGAUAUCACACAGAACACCGAUUGCGAAGGCAUCUCACGAAUCCGCGAUUGACGCUGAUGCACGAAAGCGUGGGUAUCAAACAGGAUUAGAUACCCCUGUAGUC
rnacentral:rRNA from 1 species